AUAUCAGUCAUGCAUAGCAUAUCAAUAAGCGGAGGAAAAGAAACUAACAAGGAUUCCCUUAGCAACGGCGAGUGAAGCGGGAAGAGCUCAAAUUUGAAAUCUUCAAGGUUUUACCUUGACGAAUUGUAGUUUAAAGAAGUGUUUUCUGUUGAAGUUUUGGUAAAAGUUCUUUGGAAUAGGACAUCAUAGAGGGUGAGAAUCCCGUAUUUGACCAUUACUUUCAGCUUUGUGAUACACUUUCAAAGAGUCGGAUUGUUUGGGAAUGCAGUCCAAAAUGGGUGGUAAAUUUCAUCUAAAGCUAAAUAUUGGCGAGAGACCGAUAGCGAACAAGUACCGUGAGGGAAAGAUGAAAAGAACUUUGAAAAGAGAGUUAAACAGUACGUGAAAUUGUCAAAAGGGAAGCGUUUGACACCAGUGUUGUUUUCUCGAAAAUCAAUUAAAAAGAGUUGGAUUUUGUGUUGUAUUGACUUUAUCAGCUUUCUUCACUCUUUUCCAGCUUUUUUUAAUGCACUUUUCGUUUAACAAGUCAACAUCAGUUUCUUUUGUUGUAAAAAGGUCAUUGGAAGGUGGCUUUCUCUUCGGAGAAAGUGUUUAUAGCCUUUGACUCAUGCAAUCGGAGAGACUGAGGUCUGCAGCGUAGAUCCUUCGGGGUUAGAUACAUUUGUGCUAAGUUAUAGCUUUUCAUAGACAACUUGUUGACUAUGUUUAGUCUUGUAGCUUACUCGCUUAUGCUAUUUUACCUACGCUUAGGAUGUUGAACUCUAUCACACACAG
rnacentral:rRNA from 1 species